UACGGGGGGUGCGAGCGUUGUCCGGAAUCACUGGGCGUAAAGGGCGCGUAGGUGGCGUCGUAAGUCUGUGGUGAAAGCCCGGAGCUCAACUCCGGGUCUGCCGCGGAUACUGCGAGGCUUGAGUGCUGUAGAGGGGGGUAGAAUGCCGGGUGUAGCGGUGGAAUGCGUAGAGAUCCGGAAGAACACCGGUGGCGAAGGCGGUCUGCUGGGCCAAGACUGACGCUGAGGCGCGACAGCGUGGGGAGCAAACAGG
rnacentral:rRNA from 1 species